GUAUUGCUGAAGAGUCCCAAACUAGGAUGAAACAGCUGUCCAGUAC
rnacentral:hammerhead_ribozyme from 1 species